GACGAACGCUGGCGGCGUGCUUAACACAUGCAAGUCGAACGGAAAGGCCCUGCUUGCAGGGUACUCGAGUGGCGAACGGGUGAGUAACACGUGGGUGAUCUGCCCUGCACUUCGGGAUAAGCCUGGGAAACUGGGUCUAAUACCGGAUAGGAGCCAUUUUUAGUGUGAUGGUUGGAAAGUUUUUUCGGUGUAGGAUGAGCUCUCGGCCUAUCAGCUUGUUGGUGGGGUAAUGGCCUACUAAGGCGGCGACGGGUAGCCGGCCUGAGAGGGUGGACGGCCACAGUGGGACUGAGAUACGGCCCAGACUCCUACGGGAGGCAGCAGUGGGGAAUAUUGCACAAUGGGCGCAAGCCUGAUGCAGCGAAGCCGCGUGGGGGAUGACGGCCUUCGGGUUGUAAACUCCUUUCGCUAGGGACGAAGCUAUUUGCGACGGUACCUAGAGAAGAAGCACCGGCUAACUACGUG
rnacentral:rRNA from 1 species